rnacentral:rRNA from 1 species
GAUCAUUACAGAAUACCCCUCCGGGGGCUUUCUCAACCCAUGUUUACCCCCUUGUGUUUUGGCAGCCUCGGCUGCCAACAUAACUCUUCUGUAUUGUCGUCUGAGUAACAUACAAAUAUUUAAAACUUUCAACAACGGAUCUCUUGGCUCUGGCAUCGAUGAAGAACGCAGCGAAAUGCGAUAAGUAAUGUGAAUUGCAGAAUUCCGUGAAUCAUCGAAUCUUUGAACGCACAUUGCGCCCCUUGGUAUUCCGAGGGCGUGCCUGUUCGAGCGUCAUUAACACCCCUCAAGCUUGCUUGGCCUUGGGGCUCGCGUCUUCGCGGCCCUUAAAAUCAGUGGCGGUGCCGUCCGGCUCUCAGCGUAGUAAUUUUUCUCGCUCGUGGGUCGUCCGGUCACGCUGACAACUUCUUUUAAUGUUUGACCUCGGAUCAGGUAGGGAUACCCGCUGAACUUAAGCAUAUCAAUAAGCGGAGGAAAAGAAACCAACAGGGAUUGCCUCAGUAACGGCGAGUGAAGCGGCAACAGCUCAAAUUUGAAAUCUGGCUCUUUCAGGGUCCGAGUUGUAAUUUGCAGAAGAUGCUUUGGGUGAGGCACCGGUCCAAGUUCCUUGGAACAGGACGUCAUAGAGGGUGAGAAUCCCGUACGUGAUUGGUACCUUUGCUCGUGUAAAGCUCUUUCGACGAGUCGAGUUGUUUGGGAAUGCAGCUCAAAAUGGGUGGUAAAUUUCAUCUAAAGCUAAAUAUUGGCCAGAGACCGAUAGCGCACAAGUAGAGUGAUCGAAAGAUGAAAAGCACUUUGGAAAGAGAGUUAAACAGUACGUGAAAUUGUUGAAAGGGAAGCGCUUGCAACCAGACUUGGGCGUCGUUGAUCAUCCGGGGCUCGCCCCGGUGCACUCGGCGGCGCGCAGGCCAGCAUCGGUUUCGGUGGGCGGAUAAAGGCCUUGGGAAUGCGGCUCUUCGGAGUGUUAUAGCCCAAGGUGCAAUGCGCCCUAUCGAGACCGAGGACCGCGC